UCGGUGUCUAGUGAGGCUUAACAUUUUGCAAUCAUAUGGAUGAAUUUGUUAACAUUUUCACACUUUGUUCUUUAAUAGAUGAACAUCGUAACUAAGGGUUUUUAGUUAGAAACAGUACUUAAAACACUAAAAACGGGAGACAGUGUUGGAUAAAUCCAUUAAAAAGGCAGUAGUAUAGCAUUAAAAUGCCAACACCAUGAAUUCUUUGUCGGUUUGAAAUUCCUUUGCUGUUCUGCCACUUUCUUUGUUUCUUUAUGCUCUGUUUUCUUCCUUGUAACUGGAAAGAUCAGAUGACCACGAGGGAUGAAUGUGCAGCGGUGCUGCCUCCCAGCAUGUGUAGCUGCAGCCUCUAAGCCCAGUGUUCCAGCAGCCAGGAUCCACGUGGCUGAUUGUUUUGCAGACAUAGUGGUGGCGUAUUUAUGUAUUUCUGAACUUGUUUUUCAGGCUCUGUGGCCGCCUGCGCAUCGUGGAGCCCAGAAAUAAAGCACUUGUCAGGCAGCAGCAGUGUGUCAGUGCAAAAUGGAAUUCGCAAGACUAAAGUUUACACGAGGCAACAACAAAAUCUACUGUGCCAUUCUGCGAGGCAACAAAGCUGAAAGAGAGAGACUGCAAGCAACCUCUUCCUGAGAGCUGCAGGGAGAGAGUGGGCUCGAGCUUCACUGACGAAUUAAUGCAGGAGAAAUAAGGAAUCAAGACUGUGACACACAGCCUGCAGAGGGCUGAGCUGGAGUUGUAUUGGGAAACACCUCGUUAGCAUCCAUCAGGAUGAAUGCCAUCCUGCCUCAAGAAAACGCUGAUGCAGGCUGGGUGAAGGCUGGCAGCUUGCUCCUCCUGCCUGCCAGCUGCACAGUUCAUGUGACUUCAGUGCAUCUGUCAGCCGUGCUGCCUGUCCCCCAGCAUCAGGCACAGCAAGGUGAAGGAACAGCUCCGUAAUGUUUAGCUGAAUAAAGCAUCACACGCACAACUUG